ensembl:lncRNA
CAGGCUUCUUUAACUAAAAGGGAAGGGGUGUUUACCUGGCUGUUGUGAACUUCUUGCUGCUGAAAUCCUUUGUUCCUCAACUGUCCUCCUAGGUAUGGUCACAAUGUUCCUACAAACCUUCAACAAGGCAAAUGUUAUUCUCUGUUCUGCAACUUCUUAUCUCUAUAUGAGGGGGAAAGUGUUAUACCUUAAAAGAUCGGAGCGUUGAGAUGGCUAUCCAGUAUCUCUUGGCUAUAGGCAACAUUCUUUUAGUGAUUAACUUGUAGGCAAAAGCAAUAGGAUACCAAUGUUAAAGGAAAAGAAACAGAUCCAAUAUGGAGUCAGAUUUGUUCUGUAUUACAGUGGGGGUACUCUUAGCCCCUUUGCCUUUGAGAUCUCCCCUAUCCCUGGGUGCCUCGGGCAACUGUUGAUGAGAACCAAGUGAGGUUGUUGGUGAACUCAUUUCUGAUUGUUUAUAUGAAAACAAAUACAAAGGGAAUUUGUGUUCUGGUCCUCUUGCACCCCCUUCUCUGGGGCAUCACCGUCCUAGACUCCGAAGUCAUUGUGGUUCCUGCCAUUUUUCUACCUUGACGUCUGAUGGCAGAAUGAAUGAGACCCUUUAGUGUCCUGGACUUUGUUUUCUAUAACUUGCCUUCCUCUACUAGCCACAUCAACAUGUUACAAAUUGCUUUUACAUAUUUCUUUCAUUUGAACUCUCUUCCCAACCCAGGGAUCGAACCCAGGUCUCCUGCAUUGCAGGUGGAUUCUUUACCGUCUGAGCCACCAAGGAAGCCCUUUCAUUUGAACUCAGUACCUCUGGAAAGCAGGGAAGCAGAUCUACCUGCUCUGACUUGGAGAUGUCCUUUUUUGUCUCUUCUCUUUGUACAUACGUUCCAACUUCCAUGCAGUUUGCUCCUUUGUCUGUGGAUCCGUAAAUGUUGUUCAGCUCACGGUGGUGGUGUGUCCUUGGACAGAUGGGUUUAUUGAGGGCAGAUGCCGAGACUCUGUAACAACACAGAACCAAGAAGGUCAUCUAACCCUUACAGUCCUCAGCGGAGUCCAGCCGUGAAUCUGUUCCAUUUCUAAUUCCUCAACUGGGUUUUCUUAAUUGCACUGAGGUAUUUUUCUUACCCUGAUCACAAUGUUUGCCUUAAAUCUCAUAAAGUUCAGUGUGUUCCUGCU